UACAGAGGGUGCAAGCGUUGUUCGGAAUUACUGGGCGUAAAGCGCACGUAGGCGGCAUUGCAAGUCGGAUGUGAAAUCCCUCGGCUUAACCAAGGAAGUGCAUCCGAAACUGCAGUGCUUGAGUACUUAAGAGGAUCGCGGAAUUCCCGGUGUAGAGGUGAAAUUCGUAGAUAUCGGGAGGAACACCAGUGGCGAAGGCGGCGAUCUGGGGAAGAUACUGACGCUGAGGUGCGAAAGCGUGGGGAGCAAACAGGG
rnacentral:rRNA from 1 species